rnacentral:rRNA from 1 species
GAAGGGACCUAGCGUAGUUCGGAAUUACUGGGCUUAAAGAGUUCGUAGGUGGUUGAAAAAGUUGGUGGUGAAAUCCCAGAGCUUAACUCUGGAACUGCCAUCAAAACUUUUCAGCUAGAGUUUGAUAGAGGAAAGCAGAAUUUCUAGUGUAGAGGUGAAAUUCGUAGAUAUUAGAAAGAAUACCAAUUGCGAAGGCAGCUUUCUGGAUCAUUACUGACACUGAGGAACGAAAGCAUGGGUAGCGAAGAGGAUUAGAUACCCUUGUAGUCCAUGCCGUAAACGAUGUGUGUUAGACGUUGGAAAUUUAUUUUCAGUGCCGCAGCGAAAGCGAUAAACACACCGCCUGGGGAGUACGACCGCAAGGUUAAAACUCAAAUGAAUUGACGGGGACCCGCACAAGUAGUGGAGCAUGUGGUUUAAUUCGAAGAUACGCGCAGAACCUUACCAACACUUGACAUGUUCGUCGCGACUUUAAGGGAUUAAAGUUUUCGGUUCGGCCGGACGAAACACAGGUGCUGCAUGGCUGUCGUCAGCUCGUGUCGUGAGAUGUUGGGUUAAGUCCCGCAACGAGCGCAACCCUCACUUUUAGUUGCCAUCAUUAAGUUGGGCACUCUGAAAGAACUGCCAGUGAUGAGCUGGAGGAAGGUGGGGAUGACGUCAAGUCCUCAUGGCCCUUACGUGUUGGGCUACACACGUGCUACAAUGGCAUUUACAAUAGGAUGCAAGACGGCGACGUCAAGCAAAUCCUAAAAAG